rnacentral:rRNA from 1 species
AUGGACGAGGAGAACAGUCUCCUGCAUUUUCUUGAUGAUACACCCAGUUCUCAUUACAGGAGGACAUGCGGUGGAUAUUCAUCCCAAAACGACGGCGAUGAUCACUCCGAUACAUCAGACGCAGAUCCAUCCAAUGCAAGGGACAGAUUGGAAACUCUACUUAACCAACCUGCCAACAAGUUCUGUGCAGAUUGUGGCACGCCAGAUCCAAAAUGGGCGGCUUUGCCUUUCGGUGCGUUCAUUUGCAUCAAGUGCUCUGGAACUCACAGAAGUCUUGGAGUACACAUAUCAAAGGUGAUUUCAGUGAAUCUAGACGAAUGGACAGAUGAGGAAGUCAAUUGUUUAGCUAAUUCAGGUGGAAAUGCUACUGUGAACACCAAAUAUGAAGCGUUUUUACCCGAAAACUACAAAAAGCCAAGACAAGAUUUUGCGACAGAGGACCGUGCUGUUUUCAUUAGGAAAAAAUACGAGCUUCAACAGUUUGUGACUAAUCCACAAUUUGCAUGCCCUUUGCACAAACAUGGAGCAGAAAAACGUCAUAACCAGCAACAUAGUGGCAGCAAACAUGGUACUUUCAGAAAUAGCUGGAGGAAAAAGGAAUCCGAAAACAAAGGAGGAAAAAAAAUGAUGGAUGUGGGCAUGGUAGAGUUCGUUGGAUUAAUUAAGGUCGACAUCAUAAGGGGCACAGAUUUAGCUGUUCGUGAUGUGAUGUCAAGUGAUCCAUAUGUCAUGAUUAUGCUAGGACACCAAUCCAUGAAAACAAAGGUGAUAAAGAACACACUGAACCCUAUAUGGAAUGAAAGAUUGAUGCUAUCAAUCCCUGAACCGGUGCCGCCUCUUAAAGUGCAAGUGUUCGACAAGGACACAUUCACCUCUGACGACCGAAUGGGAGAGGCUGAAGUUGAUAUCCAGCCAUUGAUCUCUGCAGCAAGAGAGUACCAGAGCUCCAUCAUCACAGAAUCGACACAGAUAUGCACAUUCUUGGCAAGCGAGAACAGCAUUCUAGCCAAGGACAGCAUUAUCUCGAUCGUCGAUGGUAAGGUGGAGCAGGAGAUUGCAUUGAGGCUUCAGAACGUCGAGCACGGGGAGCUUGAGAUCAAGCUCGAGUGCGUGCCCCUCAGUCAGUAG